GGGCUCGCUUUGGCAGCACAUUUACUAAAAUUGGAACAAUGAGAGAAGGUUAGCAUGGCCCCUGCGCAAUGGUGACAUGCAAAUUCAUGGAGCGUUCCAUAUUUUU
ensembl:snRNA U6 U6 spliceosomal RNA